rnacentral:rRNA from 1 species
UGGCAUCUAUUUCACUAUUAAAGUCACAACGGACAAAAGAUGAGCAUGCGUCCCAUUAGCUAGAUGGUAAGGUAACGGCUUACCAUGGCUACGAUGGGGUAGGGGUCCUGAGAGGGAGACUCCCCCACACUGGUACUGAGACACGGACCAGACUCCUACGGGAGGCAGCAGUGAGGAAUAUUGGACAAUGGGCGCAAGCCUGAUCCAGCCAUGCCGCGUGCAGGAUGACGGUCCUAUGGAUUGUAAACUGCUUUACACAGGAAGAAACAACGCUACGUGUAGCGUCUUGACGGUACUGUGAGAAUAAGGAUCGGCUAACUCCGUG